CCCCCAAUAGCUUACUGGUUGAAAGCUGUCGGCUCAUAACCGAUAGAUGGAUAGGUUCGAUUCCUACUUGGGGGACCA
rnacentral:tRNA from 2 species